rnacentral:rRNA from 1 species
GAUGAACGCCGGCGGUGUGCCUAAUACAUGCAGGUCGAACGCGUUGGCCCAAUUGAUUGAUGGUGCUUGCACCUGAUUGAUUUUGGUUGCCAGCGAGUGGCGGACGGGUGAGUAACACGUAGGUAACCUGCCCAGAAGCGGGGGACAACAUUUGGAAACAGAUGCUAAUACCGCAUAACAGUGUUGUUCGCAUGAACAACGCUUAAAAGAUGGCUUCUCGCUAUCACUUCUGGAUGGACCUGCGGUGCAUUAGCUUGUUGGUGGGGUAACGGCCUACCAAGGCGAUGAUGCAUAGCCGAGUUGAGAGACUGAUCGGCCACAAUGGGACUGAGACACGGCCCAUACUCCUACGGGAGGCAGCAGUAGGGAAUCUUCCACAAUGGGCGCAAGCCUGAUGGAGCAACACCGCGUGAGUGAAGAAGGGUUUCGGCUCGUAAAGCUCUGUUGUUAAAGAAGAACACGUAUGAGAGUAACUGUUCAUGCGUUGACGGUAUUUAACCAGAAAGUCACGGCUAACUACGUGCCAGCAGCCGCGGUAAUACGUAGGUGGCAAGCGUUAUCCGGAUUUAUUGGGCGUAAAGAGAGUGCAGGCGGUUUUCUAAGUCUGAUGUGAAAGCCUUCGGCUUAACCGGAGAAGUGCAUCGGAAACUGGAUAACUUGAGUGCAGAAGAGGGUAGUGGAACUCCAUGUGUAGCGGUGGAAUGCGUAGAUAUAUGGAAGAACACCAGUGGCGAAGGCGGCUACCUGGUCUGCAACUGACGCUGAGACUCGAAAGCAUGGGUAGCGAACAGG